AUCACUUCUCAGCCUUUUGGCUAAGAUCAAGUGUAGAUCUUAAUUGAGUACGAUCUGUUAUAGUACUGUCUCAGGUUCUGUAUUACCUAACAAACAAAAGCACUGGUGUACUUUAUAUUAUUUGUUUCAUUGCCAAGACACCAUUC
rnacentral:snRNA from 1 species